AUUGAACGCUGGCGGCAUGCCUUACACAUGCAAGUCGAACGGCAGCACGGGGCAACCUGGUGGCGAGUGGCGAACGGGUGAGUAAUGCAUCGGAACGUACCUUUCAGUGGGGGACAACGUAGCGAAAGUUACGCUAAUACCGCAUAUUCUGUGAGCAGGAAAGCAGGGGAUCGCAAGACCUUGCGCUGAUUGAGCGGCCGAUGUCAGAUUAGCUAGUUGGUGAGGUAAAGGCUCACCAAGGCGACGAUCUGUAGCGGGUCUGAGAGGAUGAUCCGCCACACUGGAACUGAGACACGGUCCAGACUCCUACGGGAGGCAGCAGUGGGGAAUUUUGGACAAUGGGGGCAACCCUGAUCCAGCCAUGCCGCGUGAGUGAAGAAGGCCUUCGGGUUGUAAAGUUCUUUCGGCCGGGAAGAAAUCGCACGGGCUAAUACCCUGUGUGGAUGACGGUACCGGAAUAAGAAGCACCGGCUAACUACGUGCCAGCCGCCGCCGUAAAAC
rnacentral:rRNA from 1 species